CCUACGGGAGGCAGCAGUGAGGAAUAUUGGUCAAUGGGCUAAGGCCUGAACCAGUCAAGUCGCGUGAGGGAAGACGGUCCUAUGGAUUGUAAACCUCUUUUGUCGGGGAGCAACGAGGCCACGUGUGGCCGAAGUGAGAGUACCCGAAGAAAAAGCAUCGGCUAACUCCGUGCCAGCAGCCGCGGUAAUACGGGGGAUGCAAGCGUUAUCCGGAUUUAUUGGGUUUAAAGGGUGCGUAGGCUGUGAGGUAAGUCAGCGGUGAAAUGCCCCCGCUCAACGGGGUGAAGUGCCAUUGAUACUGCCUUGCUGGAAUGCGGAUGCCGUGGGAGGAAUGUGUGGUGUAGCGGUGAAAUGCAUAGAUAUCACACAGAACACCGAUUGCGAAGGCAUCUCACGAAUCCGCGAUUGACGCUGAUGCACGAAAGCGUGGGUAUCAAACAGGAUUAGAUACCCCAGUAGUC
rnacentral:rRNA from 1 species